CUCUUUCUCUGUUAGACCUACUAGACAUUGCCCUAGGCAAUGCUGGAGGACGGGCGCUCGUGCCCUCAUCCUCAGGUGGUACUCCAGUCAAUCUUGCUGAUCGACGAGUUCCUCUCAUCCUGUUUUCUGAAAAACAGUACACAUCACAUAAACAUUAGCAUCAUAUGGUUCAUGUGGGCACACAUGAACCCGCAUCACACAUCAUAGCAUAUCAUAUCAUCAUGUAAGACAGGACUCCACAUCCUAUCCUAGUGGACAUGACCUUCCUAUUGUGCUUGACCUUCUAUAACAUCUAUGAGCCCGACAGUCUAGGUCUGACCAUAUGAACCUAGGGCUCUGAUACCAUUCUGUAACGACCCGAAAAU
rnacentral:lncRNA from 1 species